rnacentral:rRNA from 1 species
ACGGGGCUAAACCAUGCACCGAAGCUGCGGCAGCGACACUGUGUGUUGUUGGGUAGGGGAGCGUUCUGUAAGCCUGUGAAGGUGUGUCGUGAGGCAUGCUGGAGGUAUCAGAAGUGCGAAUGCUGACAUAAGUAACGAUAAAGCGGGUGAAAAGCCCGCUCGCCGGAAGACCAAGGGUUCCUGUCCAACGUUAAUCGGGGCAGGGUGAGUCGACCCCUAAGGCGAGGCCGAAAGGCGUAGUCGAUGGGAAACGGGUUAAUAUUCCCGUACUUGGUGUUACUGCGAAGGGGGGACGGAGAAGGCUAUGUUGGCCGGGCGACGGUUGUCCCGGUUUAAGCGUGUAGGUGUGUGUUCCAGGUAAAUCCGGUUCACUUUAACACUGAGGCGUGACGACGAGGCACUACGGUGCUGAAGCAACAAAUGCCCUGCUUCCAGGAAAAGCCUCUAAGCAUCAGGUAACAUCAAAUCGUACCCCAAACCGACACAGGUGGUCAGGUAGAGAAUACCAAGGCGCUUGAGAGAACUCGGGUGAAGGAACUAGGCAAAAUGGUGCCGUAACUUCGGGAGAAGGCACGCUGACACGUAGGUGAAGUGAUUUACUCAUGGAGCUGAAGUCAGUCGAAGAUACCAGCUGGCUGCAACUGUUUAUUAAAAACACAGCACUGUGCAAACACGAAAGUGGACGUAUACGGUGUGACGCCUGCCCGGUGCCGGAAGGUUAAUUGAUGGGGUCAGCGCAAGCGAAGCUCCUGAUCGAAGCCCCGGUAAACGGCGGCCGUAACUAUAACGGUCCUAAGGUAGCGAAAUUCCUUGUCGGGUAAGUUCCGACCUGCACGAAUGGCGUAAUGAUGGCCAGGCUGUCUCCACCCGAGACUCAGUGAAAUUGAACUCGCUGUGAAGAUGCAGUGUACCCGCGGCAAGACGGAAAGACCCCGUGAACCUUUACUAUAGCUUGACACUGAACAUUGAGCCUUGAUGUGUAGGAUAGGUGGGAGGCUUUGAAGUGUGGACGCCAGUCUGCAUGGAGCCGACCUUGAAAUACCACCCUUUAAUGUUUGAUGUUCUAACGUGGACCCGUUACCCGGGUUGCGGACAGUGUCUGGUGGGUAGUUUGACUGGGGCGGUCUCCUCCUAAAGAGUAACGGAGGAGCACGAAGGUUGGCUAAUCCUGGUCGGACAUCAGGAGGUUAGUGCAAUGGCAUAAGCCAGCUUGACUGCGAGCGUGACGGCGCGAGCAGGUGCGAAAGCAGGUCAUAGUGAUCCGGUGGUUCUGAAUGGAAGGGCCAUCGCUCAACGGAUAAAAGGUACUCCGGGGAUAACAGGCUGAUACCGCCCAAGAGUUCAUAUCGACGGCGGUGUUUGGCACCUCGAUGUCGGCUCAUCACAUCCUGGGGCUGAAGUAGGUCCCAAGGGUAUGGCUGUUCGCCAUUUAAAGUGGUACGCGAGCUGGGUUUAGAACGUCGUGAGACAGUUCGGUCCCUAUCUGCCGUGGGCGCUGGAGAACUGAGGGGGGCUGCUCCUAGUACGAGAGGACCGGAGUGGACGCAUCACUGGUGUUCGGGUUGUCAUGCCAAUGGCACUGCCCGGUAGCUAAAUGCGGAAGAGAUAAGUGCUGAAAGCAUCUAAGCACGAAACUUGCCCCGAGAUGAGUUCUCCCUGAGACUUAAAGUCUCCUGAAGGAACGUUGAAGACGACGACGUUGAUAGGCCGGGUGUGUAAGCGCAGCGAUGCGUUGAGCUAACCGGUACUAAUGAACCGUGAGGCUUAACCUUACA